rnacentral:rRNA from 1 species
GUAGGUGGCAAGCGUUGUCCGGAAUUAUUGGGCGUAAAGCGCGCGCAGGCGGUUCUUUAAGUCUGAUGUGAAAGCCCACGGCUCAACCGUGGAGGGUCAUUGGAAACUGGAGAACUUGAGUACAGAAGAGGAAAGCGGAAUUCCACGUGUAGCGGUGAAAUGCGUAGAGAUGUGGAGGAACACCAGUGGCGAAGGCGGCUUUCUGGUCUGUAACUGACGCUGAGGCGCGAAAGCGUGGGGAGCAAACAGGAUUAGAUACCCUGGUAGUCCACGCCGUAAACGAUGAGUGCUAAGUGUUAGGGGGGUUUCCGCCCCCCUUAGUGCUGCAGCUAACGCAUUAAGCACUCCGCCUGGGAGCACGGCCGCAAGGCUG